GGAAAAAGUAAAAAGGUUAGAACUGGAGGGAUAUCAUAUGGCCCAAUCAAUGUGAAUAAUAUUACACACAUAUAUAGUUAAGCUAUGCGAACAUAGUCCAGCUGUUGUUUUUAGUCUAAACCAACCCCCAUCAGCCUUCUAAAAGCUUGUACGGUUUCCAGAGCACACAGCACAGUUGCCACACCUGCACUGGCACAAAUCUUAUUCUAAGACUUUAUUUGGUAUGGUGGAGAAGGUGAUCGUAGUGGCCUAGAGCAGCUACCAAUGAGACCCAGAGGACCACCCGGACCGCCUGGUUUGGGCGGCCCUGGUCCGCCAGGACCUGGUCUGCCUCCUCUCUUCGGUGGCUUUUGUGAUGUCAUAGGUUCAUGUCUGAGUUUUCUGUGCUGCUGCUGGCUGUUACAAGACUGCUUUGGUGGUGGGCCAUCACCACCAGGGCCUCUGGGACCUCCUGGCCCACCAGGACCUGUGGGACCCCCUGGCCCACCAGGGCCACCUGGACCACCACCCCCGCCAUGAAUAAUGAAAUGAAUGAUGCAUGGAUAAUGGAUUCAUGGCAUGGCAUUGGCAAGGCAGCUGCUUGCUUAGCCAUAUAUAAUUGGGUUAUCUUAUCAGUUAAUUGUAAUGUAACAAUAUAUAUAUAUAUAUAUAUAUAUCGCAUUGUAAUGUGAUCAAUCUCUGAGAGUCAGGAGUGAGUGAGAGAGUCAUGGUCAUGGCUGAGUUUUAUUAGUCACUGUGUCUGUCUGUCUGUUUGUCUGUCAUUUGAGUUUGCCAGAGGCUUUUUAAUCAGCAUCUCUCUAUAUACCAUUCGGAAUAAAAUAAAAUAUAUUCAUUUAGCUCA